rnacentral:rRNA from 1 species
UUAAGACGGGUAGCCGGACUGAGAGGUUGAACGGUCACACUGGAACUGAGACACGGUCCAGACUCCUACGGGAGGCAGCAGUGGGGAAUUUUGCGCAAUGGGGGAAACCCUGACGCAGCGACGCCGCGUGGAGGAUGAAGGUCUUCGGAUUGUAAACUCCUUUUGUCGGGGGAGAUAAUGACGGUACCCGGCGAAUAAGCCACGGCUAACUCUGUGCCAGCAGCCGCGGUAAGACAGAGGUGGCAAGCGUUGUUCGGAAUUACUGGGCUUAAAGGGCGCGUAGGCGGUGGAGUAAGUCUGAGGUGGAAGAUUAGGGCUUAACCCUAAAAUUGCCUUGGAAACUGCAUCACUUGAGUCAGCGAGGGGAUGGCGGAAUUCCAGGUGUAGCGGUGAAAUGCGUAGAUAUCUGGAGGAAGGCCGGUGGCGAAGGCGGCCAUCUGGCGCUGAACUGACGCUGAGGCGCGAAAGCGUGGGGAGCAAACAGGAUUAGAUACCCUGGUAGUCC